rnacentral:rRNA from 1 species
UACAGAGGUCUCGAGCGUUGUUCGGAUUCAUUGGGCGUAAAGGGCGCGUAGGCGGCGGGGUAAGUCUGGUGUGAAAUCUCGGAGCUCAACUCCGAAAUUGCACUGGAUACUGCUCUGCUAGAGGGCUGGAGAGGGAUGUGGAAUUCCCGGUGUAGUAGUGAAAUGCGUAGAUAUCGGGAGGAACACCAGUGGCGAAGGCGGCAUCCUGGCCCUGUCCUGACGCUCAGGGGCGAAAGCGUGGGGAGCAAACCGG